GACGAACGCUGGCGGCGUGCCUAAUACAUGCAAGUAGAACGCACAGUUUAUACCGUAGCUUGCUACACCAUAGACUGUGAGUUGCGAACGGGUAAGUAACGCGUAGGUAACCUGCCUGGUAGCGGGGGAUAACUAUUGGAAACGAUAGCUAAUACCGCAUAAUAUUAAUUAUUGCAUGAUAAUUAAUUGAAAGGUGCAAUUGCACCACUACCAGAUGGACCUGCGUUGUAUUAGCUAGUAGGUGAGGUAACGGCUCACCUAGGCGACGAUACAUAGCCGACCUGAGAGGGUGAUCGGCCACACUGGGACUGAGACACGGCCCAGACUCCUACGGGAGGCAGCAGUAGGGAAUCUUCGGCAAUGGACGAAAGUCUGACCGAGCAACGCCGCGUGAGUGAAGAAGGUUUUCGGAUCGUAAAGCUCUGUUGUAAGAGAAGAACGGGUGUGAGAGUGGAAAGUUCACACUGUGACGGUAUCUUACCAGAAAGGGACGGCUAACUACGUG
rnacentral:rRNA from 1 species